rnacentral:lncRNA from 1 species
CCAAGUGGCUUUGGAGGUUUAAUGUCAAAUUGAGUAGGAUUUUUGGUGAAAGGUGAUUAGGGACUGAAUUGAAUGAUUCAGGUUGGGGGCAAAGCAUCUAAAGAUGUCGGUAUGGAGUGGAGUUCUAUAGCUGCAUCUCCAUGAGAGUUGGCACAAGUAAGUCCUAGCUUAAUGCUUCCUUGAUGUGUCCUUUUUAACUUGAAGGAAAAUGAAGCGUUAGCACAAGCUUUUCUCUAUUUGACUGGUCAGGUACUAUGGGGAAUUGGCCCUGUCAAAAACCUAAAUGAUUGGUAGGAAGAUGAAGAGAAACUUUUGCAUCACCUUUCCUCUUGCUUACUCUCUCCCUCCGAGGGUUGCACAAGUGAGUUCUAGCUUAAUGCUUCCUUUAUAUGUCCUUUUUGGCUAGAAGAAAAAUGAAAUGUUAGCACAAUUUGACAGGUCAGGUACUUUGGGGAAUUGGGCCUGUCAGAAACCAAAAUGACUGCAUCAGCUUUCCUUGCGCUUACUCCCUCCC